rnacentral:rRNA from 1 species
UGGGGAAUCUUGCGCAAUGGCCGAAAGGCUGACGCAGCGACGCCGCGUGCGGGAGGACGGUCUUCGGAUCGUAAACCGCUGUUGCCCGGGACGAACUGAUCCUUGUGAGGAUCUUGACGGUACCGGGUGAGGAAGCACCGGCUAACUCCGUGCCAGCAGCCGCGGUAAUACGGAGGGUGCGAGCGUUGUCCGGAAUCACUGGGCGUAAAGGGCGCGUAGGCGGCGCGACAAGGCGGCGGUGAAAGUCCGGGGCUCAACCCCGGAUCGGCCGUGGCGACUGUCGCGCUGGAGCACAGUAGAGGCGGGUGGAAUUCCGGGUGUAGCGGUGGAAUGCGUAGAGAUCCGGAAGAACACCGGUGGCGAAGGCGGCCCGCUGGGCUGUGGCUGACGCUGAGGCGCGACAGCGUGGGGAGCAAACAGG